rnacentral:rRNA from 1 species
UAGUGUGAGGAGGUAGGCCCACCAAGCGACGAUCGGUAGCCGGACUGAGAGGUUGAACGGCCACAUUGGGACUGAGACACGGCCCAGACUCCUACGGGAGGCAGCAUG